GAGUUAUUUCCCUUGUCUCAAAACUUCGAAAUUUCGCAGCUUCUUCCUUCUUAUUUCCAUACUUUACUUAAACAUUUACAUAUACAUGAAUGCAUAUAUAUUUAUAUGCUUGAGUAAAUAUACAAAGCUAAAGAAUAGUAUAAAUCUAUUUCCUAAUAAUGGCAAAAGUCGUUACUCCUCCGAGAAUAGCAAAACUUGUCACAGAAUUCGUAUGCGAGUACAGCAUAUCCGAUAUGGCUAUGACACCUGAUAAUCAUCUUUGUGUGGCUGAAGAGGAAAGUUGUGUGUCGAAAUACACUCUAACAGGGUUGUGCGUCGGACGCCUAAAGUUACCAGACUGUUACUUGGGAGGUGUUUGUUGUCUCCAAAGUGCGUACGGUCGGCAACUUUCUUGUCUUGGUAAACAAUGGAACGACGAAGCUUAUAUUCCCGGAAGAUUAGCAGUCCCUACGUUCUUCGGAAAAUCUGCUGGUCGAGUGCUGAUUUUAGACGGUAGUUCAGGUGAUCAAUUCGGACAGAUCAAAGCUGAAGUGGAUACAGGAGAUUACACUUACUGGUCCGUAUGCGACCUGGGAGUCGAUCGCGGACUUGUUUUGGCACGCCAGGGCCACGUUGCUACAACUAAACAGGACAGUUGUGUCGAGGUGAUGUUUCGUAACUACCGAAUGGGAGACAUAGAGAAACCUAUCGGUUUUGUGUGGUACAUCAGCUCUAUCAGCCCAGAUGUGAUAAUUGUUAGUGAUGAAGACAUCCGAGGACUGGUUAUGUGUACACUCCAGGGAGAAGUCAUUACCCAGUACAGUGACUAUGGCUUCAAUCCAAGUGGCCUUUGCCCCGAUCCUUAUCGUGGUUGUAUAUAUGCAUCCAAUGGAGAAGGAAACUGUGUGAUACGACUAACACCUGAUCUUGAAUAUGACGGGGAAAUUGUUGGAGCAGCUCAGGGCCUACGUAAUCCUUUUGUUGUUAGUCUCUCCUAUGAUGGACGAUUUCUUGUAGUUGCUGAAGAUACAUGGGAUAUAGGCGAAGACCUACCAACUCCUAUUAAAGUGUUCUCCUUACCAGACAAGAUGAUGCCUCUGUUAUAUAUCUGCCGCAGGAAUAUUCGUAAACUGCUUGGUCGUACGCUUCUGUCUGCAGUUCCGUUUCUUGGUUUGCCAAAAUGUUUACAGAAUUAUUUACUUUAUGCAGUUUGACUGCAGCAACCUUGGCAAAUGAAACAAGUUGGUGAAACCAAUGCUUAAUCUUUGACUGCUGGAUCUGAAGGCAGAUCUUAUCAAAAGCCUAACUGCAAAUCAAAGGCAUCAUUAUUAUUUUUUUUUAAACAUUUUUUUACUGGUAAUUUAUUAAAUUAUUUAUUUUUCAUAUUUGAACAAUUUUUUUUUCUUUUACCUUGGACUUUGGUGAAAAGGAAAUGCUCAACUUUAAUGUAAAUGGUCUAUCUUUUUCAUUUUUUUUUUUUUGAUAUGUGAAUUUACUGUUGCCAAAUUUUACCAAAAUUUGGUACAAAUUGUAAAUAUCUGUACAAAGAAAUGAGAACAAAAAAAUUACUCAUGAAAGAGAAACUAUCUUCAAUUAAAAUACUAAUUUAUUUAUUUCACUUUUCUGUCAGCAGUAAAUAUAUAUAUAUAUAAUAUGUGUGUGUGUUUGUUUGUUGAAGAACAGCACCUUUCACUAUAUAUUUUGCCUCCAAUCUUUAUUCAUAGUUUCAGUAUCUUUAAAUUCUGUGAGACGAAGGAUCCUGUGAAGGAAAAAAAUAGAACUAAUCAUAUUUUAUGUUACAUUCAGGUAGCAACCCUAUCCGAAAUUUAGUAUCUACAAUAGCAUUAAAUUAUUUUCUAGUAUUAUAUAUAUAUAUAUAUAUAUAUAUAUAUAUAUUUAUAUAUAUAUAUAUAUAUAUAUAUA
rnacentral:misc_RNA from 1 species